GACGAACGCUGGCGGCGUGCCUAACACAUGCAAGUCGAACGAGGUCCAUCCUUCGGGAGAAGACCUAGUGGCGAACGGGUGAGUAACACGUGAGGAACCUGCCCCGAAGACCGGGAUAACCCUCCGAAAGGAGAGCUAAUACCGGAUACCCCCACCGAACCGCAUGGUUUGGUGAGGAAAUGGAUUCCGCUUCGGGAGGGCCUCGCGGCCUAUCAGCUAGUUGGUGGGGUAACGCCACCAAGGCAUCGACGGGUAGCUGGUCUGAGAGGACGAUCAGCCACACUGGACUGAGACACGGCCCAGACUCCUACGGGAGGCAGCAGUGGGGAAUCUUGCGCAAUGGCGAAAGCCUGACGCAGCAACGCCGCGUGGGGGAUGAAGGCUCUCGGGUUGUAAACCCC
rnacentral:rRNA from 1 species